rnacentral:lncRNA from 1 species
AAGGAAUGGUCUUACGACCAGAGAUUACAAGGUACGGGAGUCGGUUACGCAAGGGGAAGGUGUUAGCACCCCUCACGUCCGUCGUACUCGACGGGAUCCACGCUUGGAAGAUAGCUCAAAGGAAAGGAAAUAGGUUGCUAAUAAACUGCUCAAAGAAAUUGCACAAACUGGAAUAAUAAACAGGUGAAAGAGGAAAACGGAGGAAAUGGACUCGGCAG